rnacentral:misc_RNA from 1 species
UUGAAUCCUCAAGGAUGUUGCUGGCCUUUUUUUGGCAUGUGCACUCCGCCUUUCAAUUCACCUGUGAACUUAUUGUAGGCCCGAGUGGUCUAUGUUUUUUACACACCCAAAAGUUUAUAGAAUGUCACAUAGUAGACCUUUAUGGUCAAAAACUUUAAUA